UUUCUGGUAGAUAUCUGUAAGUGUGUCAGUCUAAUACAAUGAGGGACUAGAAACACAAACCACAUCAAUCAUGAAGUCAUGAAAUGGUUAAAAUAAGAGAAAUAAGCCCUGCUUUUCACAAGAUGCUUGGGCCAGAUAAACUGAGCCACUCCUGUGUGUUAUUGAGUCAUAGUAACUUCAGGAACAACAAGAUUUUUUUGUGUGUUGAAGUGCUCUGUUCAAGGAAAGAAAAAAUAAAGAAGCUGAUUUUUAAUGCAGAAGCAACAUUUUGGAAGAUAUUUGGAAGGUGAAAUUUGGAAGGGCAGAAUGUGAGUAUAUCUAAGUCCGAAAACAUCCUACAGAAAACUUCAAAAAACAGUGAAGUCCAUGGAAGUACCUUAACCGAACUGGGAUCUACGAAAGAGACAACUGUGAGAGCAGAUGAACAACCUUGAGUUUUUUGCAUUCAUCAAUGCAUCAAUGCAAGGCUCAGCUCCUGGGUGAGGGAGAAAAUGAGGAAAAAUGGUACCCGUGGUUCUUCUCUGCUUCUUAGGCACCACCAAUAUGUUUGGACUUCUUCUUUUUUUUAACGAUACCACAGAGUUAUUACUUUUCAUGCAGAAAAUGAGUACAGAAUGAGAACUCAGAAUCACAAUGAUUGAGGCAAUCUGAUCAAUUUCCCCCUGCUCAAGCAGAGCCAUAUAGAGCAGGGUGCCUAGGAUAACAUGCAGAUCACAGCUAAUAUCUCUAUAAUGAAUAUAACGAUAAAUCAUCUCACUCUAUUGAAGGUCUGUUUCAGAAAAUAUUUGUUCAUUAAUUUUCUUAGCAAUAGAGGGCCUUCUACCUUUCUGGUCAGAUAAAAACCUCUGAGGAUGCAAGUGGAAGUGAGAACACUGCAAGUACUAAAGCAGUACAUUUUGUGGCUUCUUGGAAGUAGCUAGAUUUAUGAAAAUGCUUGCUUGCUUGCAGAUGUGUUCUAAGUGGCACUGCAAAAGCCAUGAGCAUAGGUUGGGUACCAUAUCCUCACAUUUACCAUGUGCCUCACAUGUGUUUCUGGGCUAUGCUUAGGCCUCUCACUCCUUAGGUCUGAGUUGAUGUCCUUUGCUGUCUCUCUCCUGACCUAUUGAAAAAUUAUGAUCACUGAUAGCUCUUAGAAACUUCCACCCAAUUGGCAGUGCCUCACCCUGCCUCUGACUUUGGCCCACUGCCUUUUGUUUUUGAUUAAAUAUCAUUAAAAGCUGCUAGAUAGCACUUGCAUACAUUGCUUCACACACCUAUGCAAAAAUGUCAGGUUAUGCUUUGUGGCAGUUCACUUUUGAGUUGUACCUUAUUCCUGUUCAGAUAAUAAUUCUCUUUUUUUUCUUCCCUUUUAUUUUCCUGUGAUAUAAUCUAAAAAUGUGGCACCCUGCAAUGUUAUUGGAGAUUAAAUUCUUAAUUAUGAAUUUCCUUGCUUUUGUGAGUUUGCCUCAGAUCCUUAACAUUUUUAAUGUCAUUUUUAUGUGAAUUUCCAUGCUAUUUUAAUUCAUUAGUCAUGGGCUAUCAUUUUUCGAUGUAAUUACUGUAAUUUCAUCAAGUGACAUAAUUACAGUAAAUACUUUGAGUAAUUACUAUUCAUAUGGAAAAAGAUAUCUGGAGGUGUAAUAAUGUCAUAUAAUAAAAUAUUUAUGAUGUGUAAAGACAAAUUAUGAUGACAUAUUUACAUCACGUAAUGGCAUGACAGCACUCCAUAUUUACCUUGGGUGAGGAGAAUGACAUAAAAAUAAGUUUCAGUGACAUCAUCUUUUGGUAACGGUUACAAAGUGUUGUGCAGCAUCCAGGUACAGCAAAUUCAGUAAUUCUUGCCUUUUAAAAAUAAAUAAUCUUCC
rnacentral:lncRNA from 1 species